rnacentral:rRNA from 1 species
AUUGAACGCUGGCGGCAUGCCUUACACAUGCAAGUCGAACGGUAACAGGUCUUCGGAUGCUGACGAGUGGCGAACGGGUGAGUAAUACAUCGGAACGUGCCCGAGAGUGGGGGAUAACGAAGCGAAGGCUUUGCUAAUACCGCAUACGAUCUCAGGAUGAAAGCAGGGGACCGCAAGGCCUUGCGCUCACGGAGCGGCCGAUGGCAGAUUAGGUAGUUGGUGGGAUAAAAGCUUACCAAGCCGACGAUCUGUAGCUGGUCUGAGAGGACGACCAGCCACACUGGGACUGAGACACGGCCCAGACUCCUACGGGAGGCAGCAGUGGGGAAUUUUGGACAAUGGGCGCAAGCCUGAUCCAGCCAUGCCGCGUGCAGGAUGAAGGCCUUCGGGUUGUAAACUGCUUUUGUACGGAACGAAAAGACUCUGGUUAAUACCUGGGGUCCAUGACGGUACCGUAAGAAUAAGCACCGGCUAACUACGUGCCAGCCGCCGCAGUAAUAC